ACCAAAGUGAAGUCAUUACAGCACAAGCUCAGGAUCUAGACUGUAACUGUCCUAGAUCUUGGAAGCAUCAGUAUAGCACCUACCCCUAAUAUCUAUCGACUAAACUAUGAGCACUAAGUUGGGUAUCUCUCCAUAUGCAUCAAUUUCUUUAAUAAUUUUUUCUUUACAAUCCCACGGCAAUAGACCUCCUGAGCUAUCAAUCGCAUCAAGUAAUCACUAGUAUCUAAUUUGUGCUGAAAUAUCCUCACGUUCCUCCCCAGCCAGAUGAGGUACACGAUAGUAACUAAGCAUAUAUAGUUUGUAGAUGUGAGAACCGGUUGAGUUGUCUUUUGCAUUUCCUAAGGCCCAAACUACUUCAUCCCUCCAUGUACUGGCUCGCAGCUCUUGUUAUUCCUUGCCACCUGAGUAUAUUUAUCCAUAUUUCACCAGAAAAAGGGCACGCGAACAGAAGAUGAUCAACAGUCUCUUGACUGCCUCCACACAGAUUGCUUGCAUCUUCAUCAAUAAUAGCCCAGCUGAUUAAUCUAUUCAUUAUCUGCAACCGAUCUUGGAAGGCUAGAUAUAAGAUAAAAAUCCACCUUGGCGCUCCAUAAUUACACCAGACUAGUUUCUUCCAAGUGGUCUUUGGAAAUACCCCUCGUAGCUUAUUAUACAUUUCCUUUGUUGGGAAUCGCUCCAUAGCCAGCAAGUCUUAUUCUUGGACAUUCACCUUCGCCAAAUAACAUGCAGCUUUCAGGAUUUUGUUUACCAUCCAAGAUGCCUGAGCUGGUUGUCUUCCCCAUAGUUGCUGAAAUCCUCCAUAGUAACAAUGAAUUCACUUAAUCCAUAGUUUAUCCUUCUUUUGGUUCACAUUUCAUAACAAUUUACACAUUGUAUUUUUGUUCCAUGUGUAUAUGUCAAGGAUAUUCAACCCUCCGGCCGCCUUAGGCAAGUAUAGUCUAUCCCAAGCCACCAAAGCCCCC
rnacentral:lncRNA from 1 species